rnacentral:rRNA from 1 species
UUAACUCUGGGAUAAGCCUGGGAAACUGGGUCUAAUACCGGAUAGGAGCGCCCACCGCAUGGUGGGUGUUGGAAAGAUUUAUCGGUUUUGGAUGGACUCGCGGCCUAUCAGCUUGUUGGUGAGGUAAUGGCUCACCAAGGCGACGACGGGUAGCCGGCCUGAGAGGGUGACCGGCCACACUGGGACUGAGACACGGCCCAGACUCCUACGGGAGGCAGCAGUGGGGAAUAUUGCACAAUGGGCGCAAGCCUGAUGCAGCGACGCCGCGUGAGGGAUGACGGCCUUCGGGUUGUAAACCUCUUUCAGUAGGGAAGAAGCGAAAGUGACGGUACCUGCAGAAGAAGCACCGGCUAACUACGUGCCAGCAGCCGCGGUAAUACGUAGGGUGCGAGCGUUAUCCGGAAUUAUUGGGCGUAAAGAGCUCGUAGGCGGUUUGUCGCGUCUGUCGUG